rnacentral:tRNA from 1 species
GUGGAUAUAGCUCAGUGUUACAGCAUGUGCUUAGCAUGCACGAGAUCCUGGGUUCAAUCCCUAGUAGUUUCA